rnacentral:rRNA from 1 species
CCCUUAGAUGUUCUGGGCCGCACGCGCGCUACACUGAUACGUUCAGCAAGUCUACCACCUCGGCCGAGAGGCCCGGGUAAUCUUCUGAAAGCGUAUCGUGAUGGGGAUAGAUUAUUGCAAUUUUUAAUCUUCAACGAGGAAUUCCUAGUAAACGCAAGUCAUCAACUUGCAUUGAUUACGUCCCUGCCCUUUGUACACACCGCCCGUCGCUCCUACCGAUCGAAGAGUUAGGUGAAUUGUUUUGAUCGAUAAGAUUUGACUAUGGUCAACUCUCGUUGAGAAAUUCUGUGAAUCUGACUGUUUAGAGGAAGGAAAAGUCGUAACA